rnacentral:tRNA from 1 species
GCCUGGAUAGUCUAGUGGUUAUGACGUCUGCCCUACACGCAGAAGGUCGCGAGUUCAAUCCUCGCUCCUGGUA